rnacentral:rRNA from 1 species
AAUCAACGCUGGCGGCGUGCCUCAGACAUGCAAGUCGAACGCGAAAGGUUCCUUCGGGAACCGAGUAGAGUGGCGCACGGGUGAGUAACACGUAGGUAAUUUGCCUUUGGGUGGGGAAUAACAGCCGGAAACGGCUGCUAAUACCGCAUAAUGCAGCGGCUCGACAUCGAGACAGUUGUUAAAGCGGGGGAUCGCAAGACCUCGCGCCUAAAGAGAAGCCUGCGGCAGAUUAGCUAGUUGGUAGGGUAAUGGCCUACCAAGGCGACGAUCUGUAACCGGCCUGAGAGGGCGGUCGGUCACACUGACACUGACAUACGGGUCAGACUCCUACGGGAGGCAGCAGUCGGGAAUUUUGGGCAAUGGGCGAAAGCCUGACCCAGCAACGCCGCGUGAAGGAUGAAAUCCCUCGGGAUGUAAACUUCGCAAGAAUGGGAAGAAUAAGUGUGGGCUAAUACCCUCAUGAUGACGGUACCAUUUGUAAGCUCCGGCUAACUUCGUGCCA